GAGUUUUAAACGGGCGUGGCCCACGAAUGAUAACGUAUAAUAUAAGCAAUAAUAAGUGUACCAAUUUGAACAGAGUUGUAUUGAAAUUAUUAUUGUAAACCCUAUCGGUUCUUGUGUGGAAAUAAUAAUGUAUACAUUUAUGGUAGGUAAGUAAUUGGGUAGACUUUUUGAUGAAAACAACAUCAGUUAUAUAAUCUUAUCUGCGCCGACGACGGUUCAACGUACUUAAUAAAAACACCGACAAUGGUCAAUAACACUGUUACUAUAUAAUGCACGGACGAUCCUUGAUCUAUGGCACUUUGAUAGGAUAAGGACCUAUUUAAAAAAAUCCUAUAAAAACCGCUUGGACACGCUUGCGACCGUUGUAAUACGCCUUGAAGUUUCCAUCGCAUCCACGUCGACAAUAAUUGUCUAAUAACUGACAACUUUCAUUGCAAAAAUUGAAAAUGGCCAUCGAAAAGAACUCCUUGAACAUAGUCGUUGUCGGACAGGUCACGAAGGGAAAUGCUUUCAUCGACCCAAUCGUGCCCUAUGUAAAAAAAACAAAUCGACGAUCAAAGCAAUGAAUACUGAAGAAAUUGGGUAUUAAAAUAAGGAAAUACAAGAUGAUCAUUUCAUCCAAAUCGGUCAAUAUUCAAAAAUGCCAUGACUCAUGACGACUAAUAUUAUAUUAUAUAGUUCAAUAAGAAAAUAGUAAAAUUUCAAAUAUAGCCAAUUAAUGUUUUAGUACAUGCAAACA